GGACCAACACAGAACAAAAUGACAGUCCCUGCCCGAAAGAGCUUACAAGAUCCUGAGACAAGUUUUACUGGUAAAUUGAGAGGGGUAGGGGUGUCCGUGUGCGCGCAUGCACACACACCUGUGUUGGGAGAGAGCUAGGUUGAUGUUUCAGCAAUCUGUUUGGUACACUGAAUGCAACCUGGGUUUGGAAAGUGGAAAAGUAGAAUGGCAUAUGGGAUGGUGCUACGACAUACCAGGAAUGUCAAAUCUGGUCUGCGCUGGAGGCUAUACUAGAGAUCUUGAAGGAAGGUUAACUUUCAUGUCUAAUGAACAAAGAAAGAAAGAAAUAAAGAAAGAAAGAAGGAAAGAUUUUCUGCUCAUUUUCUUAUGUUCAGCUCCUAAAUCCACAUGCAGGCACCUAAAUAAAUGGCCCGGUUUUUAAAAAGUGCUGAUCACCCAGCAGUUCCCACUGAAGUGAAAUAACUUUUCUGACCAUUAGUGCCUGCAUAAUUUAAUGCAGUUUUAAGAUGCUCUACAUUAAACAGGAGCUGAACUGGCUCUUGAGCAGUUUUAGGAUUGGGGGUGGGAAGGAAGAAAGAGGAGAGAAAGGUGCCUUAGAGUUACCCUACCUUACCCAAAAAAUCUGGCCCAGUGUUUGUAAAGAGAGAUGAGUGUUAGUACAAGGCACCAGAAGGACAGCUCUGGAGUUUUUAGUUCUUUGUUUAUUCCCAGGCACGGAAGAGUACAUGUGGCUGCAGUGCAAGUUUUCCACAUGCAUUGUCCUCCUUGUGUGCCUCAUCCCUAAAUCCAGAGCAACCACCUCUAAACUGGAGGGCUUUUCAGUUUCUUUGGCCCUUCAGACCUGGGCACCUCUCCUGAGAAUGCCAGAGUGCUACCAGUGGUGGUGUUUUUGUGACAGGGAGAUCUGCCCCCCUGGGCACUCGACUGGCACCAACUACUUUCACACUGGCCAUCAAACAACCAUUAGACGGCAAUGACUUUUGGUUACUGUUGACCUGGACCAGAUUUGAACCAGGAACAAAGAUGAAAAAGCCUCUUUAGCCCAAUCCCCUAAGUCAUCCAGUCCCUCAAAGGAAACUUAUUAACAUGAACUAUUUAUGAGGCUCGAGCCCCAGCUAGCAACAUUUCAUCAGCAGUAUGUGCCACAGUGUGUCUGUUGUCCUAGGCUACCAGCUAGUCUGAAUAAAGCCCAGCCUUUUCUGGUCUCACUGCUGCCCCAGUUAGAUUAAAACCCCACCUCCUCAGAGCUGCAGAAACUCCAGCUGUUUGAUAUUGUGCUGAGGAAGAUGGGGGAGCAUAAGAAGACUCCAGAUGAAAGAGAGAACUCAAAGGAAACUGGACAGUGGAGUUUCGAUAAGACACUCAGUGGGUAACAGGCUCAGUUAAAUUUGCUCAUUCAGCCAGUGAAGAAAGCGAGUUUUCUCAUACAUCCUGCUAGGCUGAAUUCAUCCACACAUGCCAUCCAAUUACUGUAGAAGUAAUAAACAGAACAGGGGGAGGGGAAGCUCAAAAUUCCAGAUCCAAGCACCCGCAAAACUUUGGAGAAGUUUGUAAUCUGAAUUUUGUGGCUGACAACUAUCUCUGCACUGAACCCAUCCAAAACCAGGAAUUCCAAAUGCCUCAGACUUCUGUGGAAAUUUGAAUCCUGAUUAUAAACUCUGUG